GCUUUCAAGAGGUCACUCUGCAUGCUGAGUGAAGAAUGGCUGGAGGAGGGCAAGAGAGGAAGCAGGGAGACGGUUAGGAGACUGUCCUUGGCAGGAGACCAGUAAGAGAGAAAGGCAGCUGAAGCCGGUUCUAGAAAUGGAGACAGCGAGAAGCUGCAAUCAGGAUGCACGCUGCAGGGACUUGCUGUGAGACUGCGUGUGGGCUGAAAGAGUGAGAUAAGAACAAGAACUUAACCUUGAAUUGAGCAAAACGGAAAUCAUUGGAGACCUGGCUACAAGCCACUUCAGCGAAGUGCAGUGGAGGAAGCAGGAAUGGAAUCGGUUCAGGAGAGAACGUGAGGAGAGGCCGCUUGAACGGAGCAGAGAAGCCGAUGUCACAAGAUUGCCCUGUCGGCACAGCACUUGAUGGACACAGCAGGUAGUGGGUCUGCUAUCUCCAAGGGCGCAGCAGGAGGCAAGUCUAUUGUCUUGAGCUGGGAGGUCACAGGGAAUGUCUAAAGCAGAUACACAAUGCAUGCUCAACAGCCACCGUCAGACCCUUUUGGAAAAACAAGGUCAGGCCAAA
rnacentral:lncRNA from 1 species